rnacentral:rRNA from 1 species
UACGUAGGGUGCAAGCGUUAAUCGGAAUUACUGGGCGUAAAGCGUGCGCAGGCGGUUUUGUAAGUCUGUCGUGAAAGCCCCGGGCUUAGCCUGGGAAUUGCGAUGGAGACUGCAAGGCUUGAAUCUGGCAGAGGGGGGUAGAAUUCCACGUGUAGCAGUGAAAUGCGUAGAGAUGUGGAGGAACACCGAUGGCGAAGGCAGCCCCCUGGGUCAAGAUUGACGCUCAUGCACGAAAGCGUGGGGAGCGAACAGG